GAUGAACGCUGGCGGCGUGCCUAAUACAUGCAAGUCGAGCGAACGGACGAGAAGCUUGCUUCUCUGAUGUUAGCGGCGGACGGGUGAGUAACACGUGCAUAACCUACCUAUAAGACUGGGAUAACUUCGGGAAACCGGAGCUAAUACCGGAUGAUAUUUUGAACCGCAUGGUUCAAAAGUGAAAGACGGUCUUGCUGUCCCUUAUAGAUGGAUCCGCGCUGCAUUAGCUAGUUGGUAAGGUAACGGCUUACCAAGGCAACGAUGCAUAGCCGACCUGAGAGGGUGAUCGGCCACACUGGAACUGAGACACGGUCCAGACUCCUACGGGAGGCAGCAGUAGGGAAUCUUCCGCAAUGGGCGAAAGCCUGACGGAGCAACGCCGCGUGAGUGAUGAAGGUCUUCGGAUCGUAAAACUCUGUUAUUAGGGAAGAACAUAUGUGUAAGUAACUGUGCACAUCUUGACGGUACCUAAUCAGAAAGCCACGGCUAACUACGUG
rnacentral:rRNA from 1 species